rnacentral:rRNA from 1 species
UAGUGAGUUUGAUCCUGGCUCAGAACGAACGCUGGCGGCAGGCUUAACACAUGCAAGUCGAACGACCCGCAAGGGAGUGGCGAGACGGUGAGUAACGCGUGGGAACGUGCCCUUCGCUUCGGAAUAUUCCCGGGAAACUGGGAGCAAUGCUGAAUACGCCGUAUUGGGAAAGAUUUAUCGGCGAAGGAUCGGCCCGCGUUAGAUUAGGUAGUUGGCGGUGUAAUGGACCACCAAGCCUACGAUCUAUAGCUGGUCUGAGAGGAUGAUCAGCCACACUGGGACUG